rnacentral:rRNA from 1 species
CCUACGGGGCGCUGCAGUAGGGAAUCUUCCACAAUGGGCGCAAGCCUGAUGGAGCAACACCGCGUGAGUGAAGAAGGGUUUCGGCUCGUAAAGCUCUGUUGUUGGAGAAGAACGUGCGUGAGAGUAACUGUUCACGCAGUGACGGUAUCCAACCAGAAAGUCACGGCUAACUACGUGCCAGCAGCCGCGGUAAUACGUAGGUGGCAAGCGUUAUCCGGAUUUAUUGGGCGUAAAGCGAGCGCAGGCGGUUGCUUAGGUCUGAUGUGAAAGCCUUCGGCUUAACCGAAGAAGUGCAUCGGAAAUCGGGCAACUUGAGUGCAGAAGAGGACAGUGGAACUCCAUGUGUAGCGGUGGAAUGCGUAGAUAUAUGGAAGAACACCAGUGGCGAAGGCGGCUGUCUGGUCUGCAACUGACGCUGAGGCUCGAAAGCAUGGGUAGCAAACAGGAUUAGAUACCCCAGUAGUC